rnacentral:rRNA from 1 species
GGGAGGUAGUGACAAUAAAUAACAAUACGGGGUCCUUUCGGGUUUCGUAAUUGGAAUGAGUACAAUUUAAAUCUCUUAACGAGGAACAAUUGGAGGGCAAGUCUGGUGCCAGCAGCCGCGGUAAUUCCAGCUCCAAUAGCGUAUAUUAAAGUUGUUGCAGUUAAAAAGCUCGUAGUUGAAUUUCGGGGUUAGUAAGUUGGUCAUGCCAUUGGUAUGCACUGGCUCUACUGAUUCCUCCUUCUUGACGAACCGUGAUGUCAUUAAUUUGGUGUUGCAGGAAAUCAGGACUGUUACUUUGAAAAAUUAGAGUGUUUAAAGCAGGCUAAGGCUUGAAUACAUUAGCAUGGAAUAAUGAAAUAGGACGUUUGAUCCUAUUUUGUUGGUUUCUAGGAUUGACGUAAUGAUUAAUAGGGAUAGUUGGG